CCUACGGGGGGCAGCAGUGGGGAAUUUUGGACAAUGGGCGCAAGCCUGGUCCAGCUAUUCCGCGUGUGGGAAGACGGCCUUCGGGUUGUAAACCACUUUUGUAGAGAACGAAAAGUCUGUUGAUAAUACCGAUAGAUGAUGACGGUACUCUAAGAAUAAGCACCGGCUAACUACGUGCCAGCAGCCGCGGUAAUACGUAGGGUGCGAGCGUUAAUCGGAAUUACUGGGCGUAAAGGGUGUGCAGGCGGUUUUGCAAGAUGGAUGUGAAAGCCCCGGGCUUAACCUGGGAAAGCCAUACAUGACUGCAAGACUAGAGUGCGCCAGAGGGGGGUGGAAUUCCAAGUGUAGCAGUGAAAUGCGUAGAUAUUUGGAAGAACACCGAUGGCGAAGGCAGCCCCCUGGGACGCAACUGACGCUCAUACACGAAAGCGUGGGGAGCAAACAGGAUUAGAUACCCGGGUAGUC
rnacentral:rRNA from 1 species